GUCUGCACUUGUCGGGGAAGGGUGAGAACCUUCGAUUAAGGUUCGACUCGAGCGAAAGCGAGAGAACGUUGCCAACGGCAACGGCCCGUAGGGUGAGGAGCGAAGCGACGAAUAAUCCUUCCCCACCACCA
rnacentral:sRNA from 2 species